rnacentral:lncRNA from 1 species
AUACUCCGCGGAAAAAGACUGUGAAUGCUGUGGCAGAGAACACCAAUGGAGAGAACAUCAUGAAUGUCUGGAAAAAAAGUGAAGAUGCCGUCAUUGUUAUAGGAAAAGCCAUGAAAUCCACUGGGCUCUCGACUGUGUCUAGAUGUUGCACAUGACUUCACAAUUUAAGAAACUGCCCUUAUCAGUCCCUGGCCUUCUUCCAUCUUCAAAGCUAGUAAAACUUGAUCUUCUCACAGUACUUCACACUGACCGUGAGAGAUUUGCUUUCCUCCUCCAUAUUUAAAGACCUUGGGAUCUCACGUGGCUUAUUCCUGAUAAUCCAAGAUAACCUUCCAAUUUUAAGGGACACUGGGCAAUUCAUUGUCUUCAGAACACAUCUGGCCCUGUCAUGGCUAUGGGAGCAUCUUGGCAUUUGGAGGAAACAAAAGAUGACUGUGCUUGCUCUGGAAUGUGUGAGAGAAAAUGAUCCUACGUUCUGUUGGAGAGGAAGUAUUUUAGAAGUAAGGAGCAUUAUUUUACAGUUGUGGUGGCUCAUAUCAAGGUUCUUAAAGAAAGAAAAUUAG